UGACAAAGGAGAUUUCAAAAGAUCAGAAAAGAGUUGUAAAUGUCAACGCUUCCGAAACAAAUUUGAACCCCAGCUUUCCACAGUGAGGAGCUCAAUGGAAAAUGUCAACUUCACAACAGUGGGUGACCCAAAAGCAUCACUUUAAGAGCAAAAUGUGAGCCUGACCAAUUAAGAAAAAAACAAACAAACAAAAAGCACGAGUUUUAAAAUACCGGAAGACCUUAGAAUAUUUUGCUUAGAAUUGUGUACGUGAAGAAAGCGUCGAGAUAAAAUCAGGAAUGCAGAAUUUUACCAAAAUUCCUGCGAACACACCAGCAAACAUUUACAGAAAGAAAUGUGCUUCCAUCCAGGACAAGACUCUGAGAUAAACUGAGCUUGAUUCCUUUUUUUUAAAAAAAAUUGAGGCCUACAUGUGACGACUUUUAAGUCCCUUACUUCAACACAGGUCGAUUCUUUAGCAGCAGGAAGAGUGAGUGACAAGACAUGAGAUGACAACACCUUUUCAGUUUCUCAUGAGCAUCACCUGUUGUGCAAACUUGCACAACGACGCCAACAUGCAGAUCUGAUCCAGCCCAACCCGGACCUGCAGCUCUGCUGAGCGUGCCAUACCGGGGUGCAGUUAUUGCAUCUAGUAACACUUAAAAUAAAAAUAAUUAUUUAUAUCAGGAUUUCUUUGGGCUGAUUUAAAAAAAAAAGUGUUUAACAUGCAUUUUAGAAUUUAUGUCUGGUUUAAUUCCACCUAAAUUCAGGGUCCAGACGACUCCAUGACAAAAGUUCACAAGAUAGAAGCUCACAGGCCUAUUAGAAAAUGGGACAAAGGAUGAAAACUUUUAAAAGAAAAACUGUAUUCUAACCAGAUAAGCCAGACCAAAGCUCUCUUUGGUCUGUACACCUUCCCAGUCAUACCAGUUGACAGCCGAUGCUGGGAUGUGAGGUCAUUACAAAGUCAUUUAAAUGAAAAGACUUUGUAAACGCCGCCAAAUAGUGGAUCAGGUCUGAGGGUAUUUUUUUUCAAAUCUGGUUUUCUCACUAAUCUUGUUCACAUUGUGCCAACAUUCAAACAAUCAUAACUUCCAUGAUUUUUUUUUUCUUUUACUUCAUUAGAAACUUAGAAUCCACAUUUUCAGAAUGUGUAAAUAACACCUCUGGGUAGGCUUACUUCUGUUUUGUUUUUGUUUUUUUUAAUGCCCUGUCACAUUUGUCUUCUCUCGGAUCUCAAAAAUAUAUUAGCUGUCAAAAAUAUUUCG